rnacentral:rRNA from 1 species
UACGGGGGGAGCAAGCGUUGUUCGGAUUUACUGGGCGUAAAGGGCGCGUAGGCGGCCACCGCAAGUCGACUGUGAAAUCUCCGGGCUUAACCCGGAAGGUCAGCCGAUACUGCGGGCUAGAGUGCAGAAGGGGCAACUGGAAUUCUCGGUGUAGCGGUGAAAUGCGUAGAUAUCGAGAGGAACACCUGCGGCGAAGGCGGGUUGCUGGGCUGACACUGACGCUGAGGCGCGAAAGCUAGGGGAGCGAACGGG